rnacentral:lncRNA from 1 species
AUGCGGGGGUAUGGGAACCAUCCCAUCCUGCACUGCUACUCUGGAGUCUGGCCCUGCAGCUCCUCACAUGGUCCACACCUCGGGACGCAUCCACGGAAAACAAACAGGCUCAGCCAAGGCAGCAGCGGCCAGAGGACCACGCCAGCAGCCACGGGGGAAUUCAGGGAUGGAACCAGGGCUGGGACUCGGAGCCACAUUUUAUAUGAAACUGAAACUCUCCAGCCGCGCCGCGCCGGAGCUGCUGCUUGUUCCGUGUGCCAGGUCGGGAACCCGGAAGAUAGAAAGCAAAAAACGUUGCCACGUCCUUUAACCUCCUUCUGGUAUCCGGUGUCCAACGCGGGAGCACAGAUCUCACCGUGUAUCAGCACUUCCCAGAUGUGCCUACGUGAAGAGCACCUGGGGACCCGUGGACUGGGUCAGUGGGGGAGUGCAGUCUGUCCUGCGGGCGGCCGGCUGACAGCCCCGAGCAGAUCACUGCGCCCAGGGCGCGGCAGCUUCUUCUGA